rnacentral:rRNA from 1 species
AGAGUUUGAUCCUGGCUCAGAAUGAACGCUGGCGGCGUGCCUAACACAUGCAAGUCGAACGAGAAAGCGGGCUUCGGCCCGUGAGUAAAGUGGCAGACGGGUGAGUAACACGUGGGUAACCUGCCCUGAGGUGGGGGAUAACCCUCCGAAAGGAGGGCUAAUACCGCAUAACAUCUCGAGUUCCUCGGGACACGAGAUCAAAGUUAGCCUCUACAUGUAAGCUGACGCCAUUGGAGGGGCCCGCGUCCCAUUAGCUUGUUGGUGAGGUAACGGCUCACCAAGGCCGCGAUGGGUAGCCGGCCUGAGAGGGUGAUCGGCCACACUGGAACUGAGACACGGUCCAGACUCCUACGGGAGGCAGCAGUGAGGAAUUUUGCGCAAUGGGCGAAAGCCUGACGCAGCGACGCCGCGUGGAGGACGAAGGCCUUCGGGUCGUAAACUCCUGUCAAGUGGGACGAAUCCUGAGAGGAUGAAUAA